UGGCUCAGUUGGUAGAACAUGGUGUUUAAAACGCCAGGGUUGUGGGUUCGAUUCCCAC
rnacentral:tRNA from 1 species